GACGAACGCUGGCGGCGUGCUUAACACAUGCCAGUCGAACGGCAAGGCCCUGCUUUUGUGGGGUUCUCGAGUGGCGAACGGGUGAGUAGCACGUGAGUAACCUGCUCUUGACUUUCGUAUAACUUCACGAAACUGGGGCUACUACCGGAUAGGAGCUCCUGCUGCAUGGUGGGGGUUGGAACGUUUCAGCGGGUGGGGAUGGACUCGCGGCUUAUCAGCUUGUUGGUGGGGUAGUGGCUUACCAAGGCUUUGACGGGUAGCCGGCCUGUGAGGGUGACCGGCGACAGUGGGACUGAGAUACGGCCCAGACUGCUACGGGAGGCAGCAGUGGGGAGUAUUGCACAGUGGGCGGAAGCCUGAUGAAGCAACGCCGCGUGCGGGAUGACGGUCUUCGGGUUGUAAACCGCUGUCGCCUGUGACGAAGCGUGAGUGACGGUAAUGGGUAAAGAAGCACCGGCUAACUACGUG
rnacentral:rRNA from 1 species